UCUACGGGGUGCAGCAGUGGGGAAUAUUGGACAAUGGGCGAAAGCCUGAUCCAGCCAUGCCGCGUGUGUGAAGAAGGCCUUCGGGUUGUAAAGCACUUUCAGUGGGGAAGAAAGCCUUGGGGCUAAUACCCUCGAGGAAGGACAUCACCCACAGAAGAAGCACCGGCUAACUCCGUGCCAGCAGCCGCGGUAAUACGGAGGGUGCGAGCGUUAAUCGGAAUUACUGGGCGUAAAGCGCGCGUAGGCGGUCUGAUAAGCCGGUUGUGAAAGCCCCGGGCUCAACCUGGGAACGGCAUCCGGAACUGUCAGGCUAGAGUGCAGGAGAGGAAGGUAGAAUUCCCGGUGUAGCGGUGAAAUGCGUAGAGAUCGGGAGGAAUACCAGUGGCGAAGGCGGCCUUCUGGACUGACACUGACGCUGAGGUGCGAAAGCGUGGGUAGCAAACAGGAUUAGAUACCCCGGUAGUC
rnacentral:rRNA from 1 species